UACGGAGGGUGCAAGCGUUAAUCGGGAUUACUGGGCGUAAAGCGUGCGCAGGCGGUUUGUUAAGUCCGUUGUGAAAGCCCCGAGCUCAACUUGGGAAUUGCAGUGGAUACUGGCAGGCUGGAGUACGGUAGAGGAAGGUGGAAUUCCCGGUGUAGCAGUGAAAUGCGUAGAGAUCGGGAGGAACACCAGUGGCGAAGGCGGCCUUCUGGACCAGUACUGACGCUCAUGCACGAAAGCGUGGGGAGCAAACAGG
rnacentral:rRNA from 1 species